CCUACGGGAGGCAGCAGUGGGGAAUAUUGGGCAAUGGGCGCAAGCCUGACCCAGCAACGCCGCGUGAAGGAAGAAGGCUUUCGGGUUGUAAACUUCUUUUCCCAGGGACGAAGCAAGUGACGGUACCUGAGUAAUAAGCCACGUCUAACUACGUGCCAGCAGCCGCGGUAAUACGUAGGUCGCAAGCGUUAUCCGGAUUUACUGGGUGUAAGGGGCGUGUAGGCGGGACUGCAAGUCAGAUGUGAAAACCACGGGCUCAACCUGUGGCCUGCAUUUGAAACUGUAGUUCUUGAGUAGUGGAGAGGCAGACGGAAGUCCUGGUGUAGCGGUGAAAUGCGUAGAUAUUAGGAAGAACACCAGUGGCGAAGGCGGUCUGCUGGACAGCAACUGACGCUGAGGCGCGAAAGCGUGGGGAGCGAACAGGAUUAGAUACCCGAGUAGUC
rnacentral:rRNA from 1 species